rnacentral:rRNA from 1 species
ACGGCAGCACGGAGCUUGCUCUGGUGGCGAGUGGCGAACGGGUGAGUAAUAUAUCGGAACGUACCCUGGAGUGGGGGAUAACGUAGCGAAAGUUACGCUAAUACCGCAUACGAUCUACGGAUGAAAGUGGGGGAUCGCAAGACCUCAUGCUCGUGGAGCGGCCGAUAUCUGAUUAGCUAGUUGGUAGGGUAAAAGCCUACCAAGGCAUCGAUCAGUAGCUGGUCUGAGAGGACGACCAGCCACACUGGAACUGAGACACGGUCCAGACUCCUACGGGAGGCAGCAGUGGGGAAUUUUGGACAAUGGGCGAAAGCCUGAUCCAGCAAUGCCGCGUGAGUGAAGAAGGCCUUCGGGUUGUAAAGCUCUUUUGUCAGGGAAGAAACGGUGAGGGCUAAUAUCUCUUGCUAAUGACGGUACCUGAAGAAUAAGCACCGGCUAACUACGUGCCAGCAGCCGCGGUAAUACGUAGGGUGCAAGCGUUAAUCGGAAUUACUGGGCGUAAAGCGUGCGCAG